rnacentral:lncRNA from 1 species
AGAGAGGGCCAGAGCUUGGGGAGUGAUUACAAACUCAGAUCAGCUGGGACCAGGGCCCCGGAAGAAGGAAGAUAGCAUGUGAAUAAUUAGGGUCUGAAAGUUCGUGCAUUUCUACAAGAGAAGAAGAACUAAGAAGAUGGUCAUGGUCCCAACCACCAAGAACCUCCUUUGGUUACACAUGGGAGACACCAGGAGGGAGCAGAAUGACCUAAAGAUUUAGAUUCAGAUUCAAGUCUGAUCUUACCUGAGAGAGCUGGCAGAGAUUCACGGACAUCGCUAAUAUCUGCUGAGCUAUCCAGACACUGGGUGCUCAGAAACGUCAAAUGUUUCUGCUCAAACAUGAAUAAUUUCUAGGUGGCUGCACACCCAUCUCAGGAGUGACUCGUGAGGGAGAUUUUAGCAUCACAAAGGAAAGUGGCACUGUGAGCCUGGGAUCUGUGGCCCUCCCUCCACCUCCGGUGUGGAUGGAGUGGUGCUGUGAUGUGCCUGGUACAGGGCAUUUGCAUAAGUAGCCUGCCCUGCGUCACUCAUCAUGCCAGACUCUGAGAAUCAACUGUAGACAACACAAGGUCCUUGCCUUUCAAGAGCUUAAUAUGUAGUUGGGGGAUCAGGCAUGGAAAUCGGCAAGAACAAACCAGGCAAUGCCGGGGGUCUGCGGGAACAAAGAGGAGCCUCCGACAUAUUUCCUAGGUGGUGGCUGUCAAGGAUGCCUUCUUAAAGGAGAGAGAGUCUAAGCUGAGUCUGAAGGAAUCUCCACAUGCAGACCUGAGGGAAGGGCAAUCAGAAAGGGAGAGCAACAUGCAGAGACUUGGAGACAAGAAGUAGCAAGGAAGAGAAAGGAACCGCAGGGCUGGAACAAGAGGCCAAGGGGUGAGGUGGUGUCCGUUGAGGCUUGGGAGAUGGUAGGGUUACACGUUUGAGAGUUUUGCAAGCCAGUCUUUUCCUCUAACAGAAGGCCAUAGGAAGUCACAGAAAGGUCUAGACCUGGGCAGGAUGCUCUCCCCAGCUGUGAUAGAGGCCAGGUUAGCGAGAUCCAACAAAGAUUUUAUGGCCUCUUAGGAGGCUCUGCAGAGAUGCUUGACUUCAGGUAAUGAGAGGUGGGAAAAAGAGAAGGACAGAGAAGAAAUAGUGUGAGAAGGAAUAGUAGAGAGGAACAGAAGGAAGGUAUCAGAGAAAUGAACAGAUUGCUUCCUAUCUCACAAAAAUAUCAGUGAGACAUUCUAGGGACCUUUGACCAUUGAUAGGUCAAGAGGAAGGAGGGGUCAUGGUUGAUACUCAGGCUUUCUUUCCAUCCUCCCACCGUGAGAGAAGAAGGCAAGGACUAAUAAACCAGGCUCUGAAUUGAUGUCCCUGCCUCUAUUCUGCUUCCCAGUGUCUACUGUGCACAAGGCAGCCAGAGAGAUCUUUAUAAAACUAAAAUCAG